rnacentral:tRNA from 2 species
GCCCCUGUAGCCCAACUGGAAGAGGCGUUAGGCUAAGGACCUAAUUGUUGCUGGUUCGAGUCCAGUCAGGGGCA